rnacentral:lncRNA from 13 species
AUGAAAUCCAGACCAAAAAAUAUUCUGCUGCUAAAAAAGCUAGGAAUUAAAUCAAUUCUUCUCUUCAGGUCAGUGGUGACAAUGUGUACAUGCAGAUAUCUACUUCCUCCAGUGAACUGCAUAGGAACUCCAGUCUCCAUUUCUUCUCAAAAUCCAGGACAAAUGAAGAAUAAUGAACAAUAAAUUUCAGCUAUGUAGUUUUCAAAUGCUCAUGUUGAAAUAGCCUCAUCACUCGUGCUGCCAGCACUUGGAUGUCACAGCAGUAGACUUCAAGAGCCUAAGUAGCAGUUGCUGAACUACUUCAUUUUUAAGGUUUGUAUUUUCAAACAGGCAGUGUUUGUGGGUUGUCCUGGGUUAAUAAACUACACUGUCCUUCAGCAGGACUGUGGCUGUCCAAAGCUGAGAUCAAGGUGAAUGGCUCAGAGGAGGCUCUUUGAGGCAGGCUGCUCCCUUUGCCUUUAUUUUCCCACUUUGCUGCCAAUUGUCUUGAAAGUGCUUUUAAUUACAAAUUAAAGAAACAACACACCCAUGAUUACUAUUAGCUUUUGAAAUACUGUGUUUAGGUGGGAAGAUGCAGCUUUAGACAUCCACAUUUGGACCUCCUGUCCAAAAUUGAGGCAGUGUAAAAAACAGUUGUGGAUUUGCUGGAACUGCAACAUCAGGCUCUGCUGUUGGUUCAUCUCUGCUGGACCAAGCUUUGUGAAUGUAUAUGAACAAGAAUCAAGGAAACAAGUAGAAGCAAACAAGUUAAAACACUCAAAAGAACCAUUUUUAAACACAGAAGCAUUCAGAGAACAAAACCUUCUUUUCAGCACCUCUGGCUCAUUCCUAGAAGCCAUUUCUAACAUUUCUGAUAAAUAAGUUGAGAAAGUCACUAAAGCCUAGCAACAUCACAGUGUCCCUAGGAAAAAGAGAAGCACCAAAGAGCCUUGAGAAAACUCUGAAUAAUGCAGAAAGCAAGAAUAAAUAUUUAUAUAUGUGGUAUUGUUAAAACUCUCAAGCAGCAUAAACACAAUAAACAAUAGCAAAUAAUAGGAUAUUUCUGUUUGUUUCCCCACACUUGAGAUGACCUAACCUACCUUAAGCAUGGUUCUACUUUGGGACGUGUGAGUUAUUUGAUCAACCCAAACUUGUGAAAAUAAACACUAUUAUUCUACUGUUUACAUUCUUUUGUUCUCUGUAAAUAGACUGAGGACUAGCAAAGUAAAUUAUAAUAAAAUACAAAUCAAAAUAAAAACUGCCGAUAAAGCAGAAACAACACAAGUGGGAAAAAAUGUAAUAAACACAGAAAUAAUGAAGUUAAAUACUCAUCACUGAGCACAGCUCUGUGUGCUCCAGAUGACUUUGUCACUGUUUUAUGGUUGUGUUCUGAUCUCAUUUACAGACACCUCCUGCAGAGACUUCCCUCAUGCUAAGACAUCCCUGGCAUGACCAAGAGAAAAACUUAACAUCUUGGGGUCAGUAUUUUCAGAGAACCCUGUGGAGUUAGGUCUUCAGAUUUCAUUGGAUUUCAGUGCAGGUUGAACACCUAAAUUUGUGUCUCUGAAAAAAAUCCCCUUGUAAAGUAAUAGCCCACUUCUUUGUCCCUACCCUGUAUUGUCUUCCAGACACUAUUUUCCAGUGUUUUUUCUAGUUGUAAGUAAAUGCUGUGGGACUAUAUUAGUAUCUGAGGAUCCAGCUAGAAGAGAUGAACUUGAUUAUAAAGUCUUUAUUAAGAAUAGGUUUGCUCUCUGGGCCCUAGGCCCAAAACUUCAUCCAUGCCUCUGUGUGGCAGUGACAUCUUGAAGGCGUGUCUUUCAGAUCAGUUAAUGUCCAGAUUUGUGCACAUCAUGUGUUAAGAAUUACUACUGUUUGUAACAUCAAUGAUAGGGCUUUCACCACUCCCUGGGAGAAGUCAUUUUGCAGCCUGAUAUAUGUCACUGUUGGAAGGCUUCUCUUGAUAUUUUUAUAAUGGUUUUUUAGCACUGGAAGACUGAAGAUAGAAAGCAAAAAGCUCAC